rnacentral:rRNA from 1 species
CUACGGGAUGCUGCAGUGGGGAAUAUUGCGCAAUGGGGGCAACCCUGACGCAGCAAUACCGCGUGAGUGAAGAAGGUUUUCGGAUCGUAAAGCUCUGUUAUUGGGGAAGAAUACAUGACGGUACCCAAUGAGGAAGUCCCGGCUAACUACGUGCCAGCAGCCGCGGUAAUACGUAGGGGACAAGCGUUGUCCGGAAUGACUGGGCGUAAAGGGCGCGUAGGCGGUCUAUUAAGUCUGAUGUGAAAGGUACCGGCUCAACCGGUGAAGUGCAUUGGAAACUGGUAGGCUUGAGUAUUGGAGAGGCAAGUGGAAUUCCUAGUGUAGCGGUGAAAUGCGUAGAUAUUAGGAGGAACACCAGUGGCGAAGGCGGCUUGCUGGACAAAUACUGACGCUGAGGUGCGAAAGCGUGGGGAGCGAACAGGAUUAGAUACCCGUGUAGUC